UUUUUUUCAGAAUAGGGGAAUCGUCACAAUUUUGGUGUUUCCCAAUCUUCUACACAGCCGGGCAAUCAAACUUUACAUUUAUCAUACAAGGUGAGUUAGAUUUCAAAGUAUUUGAGAAUGUAAGUUCAGCUUUAAAUGAGUCUCAAUUGUGUGAAGUAUGCGGAGAAAAUGGUGCUAACAAAUUUACAGUCGUAGCAAUAGAACAACCAUGUAAGUAUAGGUAACUAAGUAAAAUAUGUACGACAAGGAUAAU